UAAAAUUGAGAAUGGAAAUGGGGAAUGUGUCAAAGAGACAACAACCCGACCAUAGAACAGACAACAGCAGAAGGUCACCAACAGGUCUUCAAUGCAGCGAGACAUUCCCGCACCCGGAGGCGUCCUUCAGCUGGCCCCUAAACAAAUAUAUAUACUAGUUCAGUGAUAAUGAACGCCAUACUAAACUCCAAAUUGUACACAAGAAACUAAAAUUAAAAAUAAUACAAGACUAACAAAGGCUAGAGGCUCCUGACUUGGGACAGGCGCAAAAAUGCGGCGGGGUUAAACAUGUUUAUGAGAUCUCAACCCUCCCCCUAUACCUCUAGCCAAUGUAGAAAAGUAAACGCAUAACAAUACGCACAUUAAAAUUCAGUUCAAGAGAAGUCCGAGUCUGAUGUCAGAAGAUGUAACCAAAGAAAAUAAACAAAAUGACAAUAAUACAUAAAUAACAACAAA